GAUGAACGCUGGCGGCGUGCCUAACACAUGCAAGUCGAACGGAGAUUACGGACGGAAGUUUUCGGAUGGAAGACUGUAAUUCUUAGUGGCGGACGGGUGAGUAACGCGUGGGCAACCUGCCCUAUACAGGGGGAUAGCAGCUGGAAACGGCUGGUAAGACCGCAUAAGUCGGUUAAAUCGCAUGAUUUGAUCGGGAAAUGAGCAAUCAGGUAUAGGAUGGGCCCGCGUCCGAUUAGCCAGUUGGCAGGAUAAAAGCCUACCAAAGCGACGAUCGGUAGCCGGACUGAGAGGUCGGACGGCCACAUUGGGACUGAGACACGGCCCAAACUCCUACGGGAGGCAGCAGUGGGGGAUAUUGCACAAUGGAGGAAACUCUGAUGCAGCGACGCCGCGUGAGUGAAGAAGUAUUUCGGUAUGUAAAGCUCUAUCAGCAGGGAAGAUGAUGACGGUACCUGACUAAGAAGCCCCGGCUAACUACGUG
rnacentral:rRNA from 1 species